GGGCCCGUAUCUCAGUCUGGUUAGAGAGAGCGGCUCAUAACCGCUUCGUCCUUGGUUCAAAUCCGAGCGGGCCCA
rfam:Halorhabdus tiamatea SARL4B complete genome